CAUGAAAAUAAAGAAAAAGGGGAGAAUUGAACAAAUUAUUUGUCAUUUCUAACCAUCUUUAUUUUAGGUAAUAGCUAAUAUUAGCCAGUAGUGAUGUCAUUAUCAGAUACUAAUGUUAUGUGUUUAGGUGAAUAAUGUUUAGAUGCCAGAGACUUGUCCUUCUGAAAACUCGCCAUAAUGGCCAAUAACUAACUUUUUUUAUCACCAAAUAUAUUGUCGGAUUGGCGCUGAUGUGUUUAUUUUUAUUCUACCUUAUUGGCUUAUCACCGAAAAAUUGGCUGGUUAAAAAUGUCACCUUUAAGUUUCUGAUUUAAAAAUAAAAUAAAAAUAUGCCACCUUUUCAUUCUUGCUUGACCUUUUUCUGUUCUGUAAGAUUAUAACAAUGUCAGUUUUUCUUUUUACUCAAGAAUUGUUGUGGUGACAAUGUUUCGUAUGCACUUCGUACCUCAAAGAGGAAAAGUUUUAAGCACUUCAUUAAUUCUAUUGAGUUGUACAAUAACAGCGAAACAUUCAAUGCA
rnacentral:lncRNA from 1 species